GCCUGAUUUCAGUAUGUAGCCCACUGAGCUAUGAUAAAUAAUAUUUUAAUGAACAAAAAUCCCUCAAACAUGCUGUGAAACAUGUAUGAACAUUUCAUUUACUGCCACAUUUAAACUACAGAAGCUGAGCCAGACUCACAGCUAGGUGCCUCCCAGGGUCAGUCGUCUAUGUGAAAUGAUUUCUCUGACAUCCUGAAGUACGUCUGAAAGCUUCGACUCUGGGAUCAAACCAGGAAAUUCUCCCUCCUGCUGCCUUUUCCUGAGAAUCCAGAGUCUUCCCCUAGAAACAUCAGAACCAGCUCAACACCACUUUAUGUCCACUCCAUUUUUUUCACUGCAUGAUUUUUCA